rnacentral:SRP_RNA from 1 species
ACUAGGUGCAGUGGCACACGCCUGUAACAGUGCCAGCUUCUUAGGAGACCGAGGCAGGAGAAUUGCUUGAGUCCAGGAGUUCCGGGCUGUAGUGCACUACGCUGACUGGGUGUCUGCACUAAGUAUGGCUCCAAUGCAGGGGACCACAAAGCUGCCUAAGGAGCAGAGAACUGGCCCAAGCUGGAAAUGGAGCCAGUCAAAAUUCCUGUGCUGUCCAGCAGUGGGAUUGUGUCUGUCAACAGCCAAUGCACUCCAGCCUGGGCAACAUAAUGAGACCACGUCUUU